CAGAGUUUGUCCUGGCUCAGAUUGAACGCUGGCGGCAGGCCUAACACAUGCAAGUCGAGCGGAUGACGGGAGCUUGCUCCUUGAUUCAGCGGCGGACGGGUGAGUAAUACCUAGGAAUCUGCCUGAUAGUGGGGGACAACGUUUCGAAAGGAACGCUAAUACCGCAUACGUCCUACGGGAGAAAGCAGGGGACCUUCGGGCCUUGCGCUAUCAGAUGAGCCUAGGUCGGAUUAGCUAGUUGGUGAGGUAAUGGCUCACCAAGGCGACGAUCCGUAACUGGUCUGAGAGGAUGAUCAGUCACACUGGAACUGAGACACGGUCCAGACUCCUACGGGAGGCAGCAGUGGGGAAUAUUGGACAAUGGGCGAAAGCCUGAUCCAGCCAUGCCGCGUGUGUGAAGAAGGUCUUCGGAUUGUAAAGCACUUUAAGUUGGGAGGAAGGGCAGUAAGCUAAUACCUUGCUGUUUUGACGUUACCGACAGAAUAAGCACCGGCUAACUCUGUGCCAGCAGCCGCGGUAAUACAGAGGGUGCAAGCGUUAAUCGGAAUUACUGGGCGUAAAGCGCGCGUAGGUGGUUCGUUAAGUUGGAUGUGAAAUCCCCGGGCUCAACCUGGGAACUGCAUCCAAAACUGGCGAGCUAGAGUAGGGCAGAGGGUGGUGGAAUUUCCUGUGUAGCGGUGAAAUGCGUAGAUAUAGGAAGGAACACCAGUGGCGAAGGCGACCACCUGGGCUCAUACUGACACUGAGGUGCGAAAGCGUG
rnacentral:rRNA from 1 species